UACAGAGGUCCCAAGCGUUGUUCGGAUUCACUGGGCGUAAAGGGUGCGUAGGUGGUGAGGUAAGUCGGAUGUGAAAGCUCGGAGCUCAACUCCGAAAUGGCAUUGGAAACUACCUCGCUCGAGGGCUGGAGGGGGGACUGGAAUACUUGGUGUAGCAGUGAAAUGCGUAGAUAUCAAGUGGAACACCAGUGGCGAAGGCGAGUCCCUGGACAACUCCUGACACUGAGGCACGAAAGCUAGGGGAGCAAACAGG
rnacentral:rRNA from 1 species